UCCGGUUUGUCACCGGCAGUCUCCCAUGAGUCCCCGACAUUACUCGCUGGCAACAUAGGACAGGGGUUGCGCUCGUUGCGGGACUUAACCCAACAUCUCACGGCACGAGCUGACGACAGCCAUGCAGCACCUGUGCUAGCCCCUUACGGACACGGGCUUUCACCCGCUUUAACUAGCAUGUCAAGCCUAGGUAAGGUUCUUCGCGUCGCAUCGAAUUAAACAACAUGCUCCGCUGCUUGUGCGGGUCCCCGUCAAUUCCUUUGAGUUUUAGCCUUGCGGCCGUACUCCCCAGGCGGGGUGCUUAAUGCGUUAGCUUCGGCACGGACGGAGUCGACACCGCCCACACCUAGCACCCAUCGUUUACGGCGUGGACUAC
rnacentral:misc_RNA from 1 species